rnacentral:rRNA from 1 species
CGCGUAGGUGGUAAGGCAAGUAAGAUGUGAAAGCCCUGGGCUUAACCUGGGAAGUGCAUCUUAAACUGCCUAACUAGAGUAUGGUAGAGGGUAGUGGAAUUUCCGGUGUAGCGGUGAAAUGCGUAGAGAUCGGAAGGAACGCCAGUGGUGAAGACGACUACCUGGACCAAUACUGACACUGAGGCGCGAAAGCGUGGGGAUCAAACA